rnacentral:ncRNA from 2 species
UUCUCCCGCUGGGGGUAGUCCUUCUUAUAGGGCUUGAGAGUAUACCCUUGGAACCUGAUGCGGUUAAUACCGCCGUAGGGAAAGCGGGCUGCUGGACGG